AUUGAACGCUGGCGGCAGGCCUAACACAUGCAAGUCGAACGAGUGGCGGACGGGUGAGUAAUGUCUGGGAAACUGCCUGAUGGAGGGGGAUAACUACUGGAAACGGUAGCUAAUACCGCAUACCAUCGGAUGUGCCCAGAUGGGAUUAGCUAGUAGGUGGGGUAACGGCUCACCUAGGCGACGAUCCCUAGCUGGUCUGAGAGGAUGACCAGACAAACGGGAACUGGGAUACGGUCCAGACUCCUACGGGAGGCAGCAGUGGGGAAUAUGGCACAAUGGGCGCAAGUCUGAUGCAGCCAUGCCGCGUGUAUGAAGAAGGCUUUCGGGUUUUAAAGUACUUUCAGGGGGGAGGCGUUAACCGCAGAAGAAGCACCGGCUAACUCCGUGCCAGCAGCCGCGGUAAUAC
rnacentral:rRNA from 1 species